UCUCUAAUGGUAUAACUAAUAAGCAUUAAUAGCCAUAAAAGAAAUCGUACAAAAGCUUAAUCAAAAUUUGAAGAACUCCAUCGAUUCCAAGAAUGUUAAAGUGUUUGUUUUAUUGUAAUUUUCUCGACACUUUGCCAAAUAUUAGUGUCAGCGCGAUAAAUAAGAAGGCAAUGCACAAGCAAUCAUAGACACAUACAUGUGUAUGUAUGUACAUAUUCGACGAUUCUCUCUGUAUGCAUACACAUGUUUGGGUGUCUGUUUUCGCAAUUCAUAUCUACUUAUGCUUGCUUGUGCGUUAUCUGUUUUCUGUUUUCUGUGCGCCAACUCUGGCUUAUAUCGUCCGUAAUGGGGAUUAUUAACUGACAUGUAAAAAAAAUCGCCUUCUGCAGGUCGAGCAGAUAGGGCAAUUUGGUUGCUUAAUUCUUGUCGGUUCUCAAAUCAAAAUUUGUUAGUGCUCCGUUUAUUUUAAAGUCUCUUACGAACCCCAAAAGGUAUAUCCAACCUAAGUCGGACUUCAUUAACCGAUAUUAACAAAUUAAAAAUUAAUUUUUUCUUUUUAAUUUUGCAACUGAAUUUGCCAUGGACAAGAAGACGUUCAAUAACAUUGGUAGCUACCAUGGAUAAAUGUACCUUAAAUAAAAUCGAAUUUAAAUUUUGACCAAAAUGGCUAAGGUAACAUGAACCUUGUUGCCAAACUGCGUCGUUUCUCACCUGAACAUUUUAAAGGACUUACGAAUCCUUUAAGCUUAACCUGUCAACGUUUAUGGACAACAUAUAAUCAACAAAUAAGAUCUGCGGAAAUAUGUCUCUUUGACAUAAUAAAUAUAGUAUUUCAUAUAAAUAUAUAAUAUCAGACGACAUUUACCAGAGAUAAAACGUGCUUUGUGUCGAUUUGCCAAUUGAUAGUACGGAUCCUCAGGAGUCUAAAAAUGAUUCCCCCGGGUCAGCAGCUCCUAAUAAAACAUAUUCAUAUUGAAUAAUGCAGUCCAACUAACAGAGUGUUAAAUUGUGAGUGAGUCGAGCGGACGAAAAAACCGGCGCCCAGAAAAUAAGCAAGCGAUCGAAAGACGAGUGAGAACGAUGCGCCUCAUUACUUAGCAUGCACACACCCACACAAACACGUGUAUGCGCAGAGAUGAGCCAAGGCCAGAGAUAAGCAGCCACCUGUUCGUGUGUGUGUUCGCUGUCAUUUUGCUCACGCGCUCACGAUACAAUUUGGUGCUGAUCGCUGAUUGGUCCACACAUUAGCGGCCGGCCGUGAUGUACUCGCCUAGUCGAUUGAGUGUUCUUUUUUCUGAGCGCCGUUUUUAUGGAUCAGCUCAACUUAACAUAUGUUUGGGUGUGUGUUUUCGCAAUUCAUAUCUAUGCUUGCUUGUGCGUUAUCUACCUUUGAACGGCGAUUACUCCAGUUUGUGGAUUACUUGCUCAGUUUUCUGUUCUCCGACUUACGAAUCUUUAAUGCCUAACCGGCCAACGUUCAUGGACAGCGUAUAAUCAACAAAUAAUAAGAUCGGUGGAAAUAUAUCUCUUUAAAAUAAUAAACGUUAUAUUUCCGCGCGGAAAUAUGUCGGAUUUGGAACGUCGGAGCUGCGCGAGAUAUGAAAUAAUUAAUUUUAUAUGCUAUAGCCAACUUUGCCACGCUCAUGGACAACAUUUCAUCAGAAAAUGAUCGCUUUUCAUGGUACCUAGUUGACCUGUAUAUCCUUUUUAAUUUCAUAUCAUGGAUAUAGUCCUAGCGAACCUAAAGGACAACGUUCUUGCAAAAUGCGUAGGAACUAGGUCCAAAAUAUGUAUGCUUUUCUUUAACAGCCGUCCCCAGCAACAGCAACAGUUUCUAGUUGACUAGCAUAUCCUUGGUAAUACCAUACCAUGGAUAUAGUCCUAGCGAACCUAAAGGAUCAGAUCCCUGCAAAAUGUGCAUUGAAAUGGUCCAAAAACAUGUAUGCUUUUUCUUUCAGGAGCCCUUUUACAUUAGCUGCAGCUGCAGCUGUUGCUUAACAGCCGGCUUACAGCACUCUCGCAGCUUAACAGAGCUCAUUUAAAUUGAGUUACAUUUUUGCCCCUUAAUGCUAUGCAAUGAAAAUUUUUAUUCAAAGAACUCGUCGACCUUCUGGGCAUUUCUGUUCGCCUGGUACUUGAGUGGAAUUUUAGUGCAAUUUUGGGACCCAGCCGGUGACGAGGGCGCCCCGUGAGGGUAUGCAAUGGAUUUCUUCGGUCGCAAAAAUAUUUCUUAUCGACCUUCUGCGCAUUUCUGUUCGCCUGGUACUUUUAGGAAAUUUUAGUAAAAAUUUGGGACCCAGCCGGUAACGAGGGCGCCCCGUGAGGGUAUGCAACGAAAUUUUUCGGUCGCAAAAAUAUUUUUUGUCGACCUUCUGGGCAUUUCUGUUCGCCUGGUAUUUUGGCAGAUUUUAAGAAAAAUCUCGGCAGCCAGCGGUUGCCAACAAACGCCUCUCUCUCACGGGUGUGCAAUAGGCUUCUAAAGACCGUUAAUUUUUGAAUUUGUAAAUAAAAAAACAGGAAUUUCUCUCU